rnacentral:rRNA from 1 species
UACGAAGGGGGCUAGCGUUGCUCGGAAUCACUGGGCGUAAAGGGUGCGUAGGCGGGUCUUUAAGUCAGGGGUGAAAGCCCAGGGCUCAACCCUGGAAUUGCCUUCGAUACUGUUUGGCUAGAGACCGGAAGAGGUAAGUGGAACUGCGAGUGUAGAGGUGAAAUUCGUAGAUAUUCGCAAGAACACCAGUGGCGAAGGCGGCUUACUGGUCCGGUUCUGACGCUGAGGCGCGAAAGCGUGGGGAGCAAACAGG